AAAGACCAUCACCCAGUGUUGUGUUCGAGACCACCUAAAGGAGACCGAUUCAAGACCAAGACCGGAGCAAAUCGAGUCCGAGUCAAGACCAAGACUGGAGAGGGGGCGAGACCCAGUCAAGACGGAGACUGGAAGGGGAACAAGAUCCUAAGUGUUGGAUUUUGACACCAGCCCGCAGGAGCAGUGACCCAUGAACAUGAGAACCGAGCGAUUAAGGAAUCCUUUCCAGCUAAUCACCCUGGACUCCAGCACUUCCGCUGCGCUGAUUACUGAGGAAAUCAUUAGAAGAAAAAAGUGCCUGGAUCUUUCAUCGUGGCCAGCCCGACUCCAGGGAGGUCAGUGAGGGGUGUGUUUGAUAGGCCAUUUAGUCUUGCUGCUCCUAUUAUUCCAGCAUUUCCUCUAUCUGCACGCUGGAUGUGGAUGUCUUGCCUCCCCCAGACCCUAAUCAUUCCCAUACUGGUGUCUUGGAGUUUUGAGUUCACCCCAGACCUUCGUCUUCGUAGGGUUAGAGGGGCUCCUAGCUCCUAUCUCGCCCUCUCUUCCUCCCUCUUAGUCACCCCAUCCCCCCAAAACUGUCUGAUCCCAAGCACCAUGCAGCCUCUCAUGGGUACUAUCACAGAUGGCACUAACGACGUGGUCCCGAGCAGAGGAGGCGGUUCGCUGCUAGACUGGUGACAUAUGCUCGGUCGCAGGACGAUCAGCCGAGCAGAACACUGCCCAGACGUCCAAAAAGACAAUUCCCCCCCCACACACACACACACACACCCAAACACAACACAGCCCCCUCUAAAACAGACACUCACUGUCUUCUACUUCAGCCAGUGUUUUGUUUUGUUUAUCAUGGACCAGGCCCCCUCCAUUGUCUCCGCAGAACCCCCCUCUUGAUGGAUGACCUCCUAGUUCAGUGUUUAGGGUCCCUCCCCAGUGUCCCCUCUGUCCCCCUGGGAGGGCUGAGGAGGAUGGGGGUGACAGAACAAGUUAAUUUCCC
rnacentral:lncRNA from 1 species